GGUGGCCUAGUGGUUAGGGAGUCCGCCUCAGAUGCGGGAGAUCGUGGGGUCAAGUCAUAUCAAAGACU